rnacentral:tRNA from 1 species
GCGAGGAUGGCGGAACUGGCAGACGCGCCAGGUUUAGGUCCUGGUGGGCAUUGUCCGUGGGGGUUCGAAUCCCCCUCCUCGCA